AUUUCACUUUCAUUUAAUUUUUGUUUAUUAAAUAUCCCAAAGUAUUGUAAUAAGUUAAUAAAUUGUGAAAUUGAUAUUUUUAAUUACAAGAGACAUGGUGUAUGUACAAAUAUAUUUAAAAUUGGACGUGGUUAUCUCAAUUUAAGGGUAUGGUUAUAAGUAAUGUCAUGCUCUUUUUUACCAUAUGGUGAUAGUUGCAAUCUGUUCGUCUAUAAUUGAUUUAACAUAAUUAAAAUGAAUAUUCUUUUUAUAAUUUUAAAGACUAAAAUAACCUUCUGACUCCGUCAACACUCGAUAGUAAGGUUUAGGGUUCUGAUAUCCUCUAUAAAUAUGAAUACGCCUUAUUUUUGUUUGUUUCUUCCUAUACUCUUCAUCGUCAUCCAGAGAGGGCUGAAGGAUCGACCCUCCGCUGCUAUUGUUGUUCUAAGACCAAGCCUGUUCGCCAUCGAUAAUGAGAGCUAAGUGGAAGAAGAAGCGUAUGAGGAGGCUCAAGAGAAAGCGCCGAAAGAUGAGACAGAGGUCUAAGUAGUUGCAGAUAACAGGAAAAUGAUCAAGCUUUCUCCUGAGAGUGGCUAAAUACCUCCAUUGUUGUCUUGCAUUAUUUGCUUGAAGGUGUGGAGGUUGUAGUUUUGUUCUUAUGAAGUUAGUUUUACACCAUUUCCUGUGGUUUUUAUUACUUUGGACAAACCUAUAUGCUCUGACUCGUUUUUUGCUUAAGAUUUGCUAUAACUUAUAUUGUGCUUCUAAUGCUUUUUCGAACUCGUUUCAGCAAUUUAAUAGCCUUUUUAUUCAGACUGAAUAUCAUUGUGUUGCC